rnacentral:rRNA from 1 species
UACGUAGGGCGCAAGCGUUAUCCGGAAUUAUUGGGCGUAAAGAGCGUGUAGGCGGCCACUUAAGUCCUGCGUGAAAUCUUGCGGCUCAACCGCAAGCGGUCGUGGGAAACUGGGUGGCUAGAGUGCGGGAGAGGAGAGUGGAAUUCCUGGUGUAGCGGUGGAAUGCGCAGAUAUCAGGAAGAACACCCGUGGCGAAGGCGGCUCUCUGGAACGCAACUGACGCUGAGACGCGAAAGCGUGGGGAGCAAACAGG